CAGGUUUAAAAUAAAUCUCUUUUUGAUUUAUUAUCAGUAAACAUUUCUUUUGUAUAAGAUUUUCUCAGUUAAAAGGGGUUGUGAGUAGAAAGAAUUUAAGAAGUGUUAGUUUAAAAAAACAAAGCAUGACUGAGGUUGUAGCUUGGUCGAUAGAGCACUUGUCUAGCCUGCUCAGUGCCCGAUCUGGUCCCUGACAUGUGAAUUAGCCAGAGUGCAUCAGACCUAUAGUCAUGACCAACAGGAGGUGGGAACAGUAGGAUCAUCUUUGAUUGCAUAAUGAGUUCAAGGCCAGCCAUAUAUAUGUAUAUUUAUAUCUAUAUAUGUUUAUAUAUAUCGAUAUAUGCACAGAGAGAGAGAGAGAGAGAAAGAGAGAGAGAGAGAGAAAGAGAAAGAGAAAGAUCAACUGAAAAGUAAUUGAAAUCCCAUGCCCUUAGGGAGUGUAUUUUCUGGGAUCUGUGUUCAACCUUUACAGCUUUAUUAGUCAAAACCCUUUGGGGUUUUGAAACCACCAGCCACCAGUGGGCGCUGCUCCCAGAUGGAUACCUGGAUAUCUCACCCCGCCUUGCAACUCUUGUCAACAAACAGGCUGCCAGGUAAGGGGCAGGCAGGGGCCCAGGCCCUGGGGCUGGAGGGAGACAGGACAGGACAGGAACCCGCUGCAACUGCUGCCUGUCUUCUUCUUCCUAGGUUUGAUCCAGCAUUUGCAAGUCGUUCCAAAGCCAGAGGUGGGGGGUUUCCUGCAGGUUGGAAGCUGAUUUAGAAUGUGUCAGCACUUUCUUCCUAAGGUUUGCAGGUAUCAAUGUAGCACCCUGUUGCCUCGGACUUAAUCCGUGAUAUAAAACAAGAUAUCCUGAGUAAAAUCAACUUAAUAGGAACCAGUCACACAGCAAACUUAAAUCCAAACAGGCCAAUGCUAUGAUCACUCCUAUCUGCCAGACCAGAAAACUGAGUCUUAGAGACCAGUUUGCCUAAAGGCCUGCAUCCCAGGCUUCUACUGAGUUUUAACUACAAGAAUGGAUUGCUUUCACGGUCAGAGAGUGAAGGCAUUCUCCAGUCACCCUAAACCAUAGGCCCAACAUGGCAUCUUUAAAUCAGGGACAGCAUGUAAACUUUUCUCGGCUGUAGCUGAGUUUCACAAAGAGUGCCGCUUGCGGUGACGAAUGCCCCAUGGGAUGCUGGGCUGACCUCAGGACACACCCAUGCCACAGAGGGAACAGGUGUUUACUGAAGAUGGAGGAGAACUGGGACGUGGCAGCAGUGAGCCUCCCUAAGCAGCGUCACCAUUGGGAGGAAGCCAAGAGCUUGGCCCAGUGGCCUCGGUGGGGUUGGGCUCAUGCCUUCCCAGGUAUUGCUUCUUUUAACAUUGCAAUGUUUAAUUGUAACGCAUUUCCAAACAUACAGAAGCUCAUAAAGGAGACACCUAAAUACCAUGAAAGUGGAUCAGCUGCCAACACCUCCCAAGUGCUCCGCUCACCAUGC
rnacentral:lncRNA from 1 species